rnacentral:rRNA from 2 species
GCUAAUACAUGCAGUCGAACGCGUUGGCCCAAUUGAUUGAUGGUGCUUGCACCUGAUUGAUUUUGGUCGCCAACGAGUGGCGGACGGGUGAGUAACACGUAGGUAACCUGCCCAGAAGCGGGGGACAACAUUUGGAAACAGAUGCUAAUACCGCAUAACAGCGUUGUUCGCAUGAACAACGCUUAAAAGAUGGCUUCUCGCUAUCACUUCUGGAUGGACCUGCGGUGCAUUAGCUUGUUGGUGGGGUAACGGCCUACCAAGGCGAUGAUGCAUAGCCGAGUUGAGAGACUGAUCGGCCACAAUGGGACUGAGACACGGCCCAUACUCCUACGGGAGGCAGCAGUAGGGAAUCUUCCACAAUGGGCGCAAGCCUGAUGGAGCAACACCGCGUGAGUGAAGAAGGGUUUCGGCUCGUAAAGCUCUGUUGUUAAAGAAGAACACGUAUGAGAGUAACUGUUCAUACGUUGACGGUAUUUAACCAGAAAGUCACGGCUAACUACGUGCCAGCAGCCGCGGUAAUACGUAGGUGGCAAGCGUUAUCCGGAUUUAUUGGGCGUAAAGAGAGUGCAGGCGGUUUUCUAAGUCUGAUGUGAAAGCCUUCGGCUUAACCGGAGAAGUGCAUCGGAAACUGGAUAACUUGAGUGCAGAAGAGGGUAGUGGAACUCCAUGUGUAGCGGUGGAAUGCGUAGAUAUAUGGAAGAACACCAGUGGCGAAGGCGGCUACCUGGUCUGCAACUGACGCUGAGACUCGAAAGCAUGGGUAGCGAACAGGAUUAGAUACCCUGGUAGUCCAUGCCGUAAACGAUGAGUGCUAGGUGUUGGAGGGUUUCCGCCCUUCAGUGCCGGAGCUAACGCAUUAAGCACUCCGCCUGGGGAGUACGACCGCAAGGUUGAAACUCAAAGGAAUUGACGGGGGCCCGCACAAGCGGUGGAGCAUGUGGUUUAAUUCGAAGCUACGCGAAGAACCUUACCAGGUCUUGACAUCUUGCGCCAACCCUAGAGAUAGGGCGUUUCCUUCGGGAACGCAAUGACAGGUGGUGCAUGGUCGUCGUCAGCUCGUGUCGUGAGAUGUUGGGUUAAGUCCCGCAACGAGCGCAACCCUUGUUACUAGUUGCCAGCAUUAAGUUGGGCACUCUAGUGAGACUGCCGGUGACAAACCGGAGGAAGGUGGGGACGACGUCAGAUCAUCAUGCCCCUUAUGACCUGGGCUACACACGUGCUACAAUGGACGGUACAACGAGUCGCGAACUCGCGAGGGCAAGCAAAUCUCUUAAAACCGUUCUCAGUUCGGACUGCAGGCUGCAACUCGCCUGCACGAAGUCGGAAUCGCUAGUAAUCGCGGAUCAGCAUGCCGCGGUGAAUACGUUCCCGGGCCUUGUACACACCGCCCGUCACACCAUGAGAGUUUGUAACACCCAAAGUCGGUGGGGUAACCUUUAGGAGCCAGCCGCCUAAGUG